rnacentral:rRNA from 1 species
CUUCCUACGGGAGGCAGCAGUGGGGAAUAUUGCACAAUGGGGGAAACCCUGAUGCAGCGACGCCGCGUGAGUGAGGAAGUAUUUCGGUAUGUAAAGCUCUAUCAGCAGGGAAGAAAAUGACGGUACCUGACUAAGAAGCCCCGGCUAACUACGUGCCAGCAGCCGCGGUAAUACGUAGGGGGCAAGCGUUAUCCGGAUUUACUGGGCGUAAAGGGAGCGUAGACGGAGGAGCAAGUCUGAUGUGAAAAUCCGGGGCCCAACCCCGGAACUGCAUUGGAAACUGUUAUUCUAGAGGAUGGGAGAGG